UACGUAGGGGGCAAGCGUUGUCCGGAUUUAUUGGGCGUAAAGAGCGUGUAGGCGGCCAAACAGGUCCAUUGUGAAAACUCGAGGCUCAACCUCGAGAGGUCGGUGGAAACCGUCUGGCUAGAGUCCGGAAGAGGAGAGUGGAAUUCCCGGUGUAGCGGUGAAAUGCGCAGAUAUCGGGAAGAACACCCGUGGCGAAGGCGGCUCUCUGGGACGGUACUGACGCUGAGACGCGAAAGCGUGGGGAGCGAACAGG
rnacentral:rRNA from 1 species